rnacentral:tRNA from 1 species
GCCCGUGGCACAGCUUGGUUAGCGCGCACGGCUGAUAACUGUGAAGUCGCCGGUUCAAAUCCGGCCGGGCCCACCA